CAUCAGAUCACCGGAAUUAAGCAACGUCGAGCAUGGUCAGUACCUAGAUAGGUGACCACUUGGGAAUACCAGGUGCUGCAAG